GGGGAAUUUUCCGCAAUGGGCGAAAGCCUGACGGAGCAACNGCCGCGUGAGGGGAGGAAGGGCCUGUGGGUUGUAAACCUCUUUUCUCAGGGAAGAAGUUCUGACGGUACCUGAGGAAUCAGCAUCGGCUAACUCCGUGCCAGCAGCCGCGGUAAGACGGAGGAUGCAAGCGUUAUCCGGAAUUAUUGGGCGUAGAGCGUCCGUAGGCGGUUCAGAAAGUCUGCUGUUAAAGCUCACAGCUCAACUGUGAAUCGGCAGUGGAAACUUCUGGACUAGAGAGUGGUAGGGGUAGAGGGAAUUCCUAGUGUAGCGGUGAAAUGCGUAGAUAUUAGGAAGAACACCAGUGGCGAAGGCGCUCUACUGGGCCAUUACUGACGCUGAUGGACGAAAGCUAGGGGAGCGAAAGGGAUUAGAUACCCCUGUAGUCCUAGCUGUAAACGAUGGACACUAGGUGUUGGCCGUAUCGACCCGGUCAGUAUCGAAGCAAACGCGUUAAGUGU
rnacentral:rRNA from 1 species